rnacentral:rRNA from 1 species
UAACCUGCCUUAUAGUGGGGGAUAGCCUUUCGAGAGGAAGAUUAAUACCGCAUAAGAUUGUAGUAUCGCAUGAUAUAGCAAUUAAAGGAGCAAUUCGCUAUAAGAUGGACCCGCGUCGCAUUAGCUAGCUGGUGAGGUAAUGGCUCACCAAGGCGACGAUGCGUAGCCGACCUGAGAGGGUGAUCGGCCACAUUGGGACUGAGACACGGCCCAGACUCCUACGGGAGGCAGCAUG